rnacentral:rRNA from 1 species
AGCUGAUAGACACCGGCGUAAAGAGUGGUUAAAAAACAGUAAAACUAAAGCUAAACACCUUCAAGGCCGUUAUACGCAACCGAAGACAGGAGAAACCCCCACGAAAGUGGCUUUAAAACCAUUGAACCCACGAAGAUUAGGAUACAAACUGGGAUUAGAUACCCCACUAUGCCUAACCCUAAACAAAAACGACACCCUUACACCUGUCACUCGCCAGGGAACUACAAGCACUAGCUCGAAAUCCAAAGGACUUGGCGGUGCUUUAGAACCACCUAGAGGAGCCUGUUCUAUAACCGAUACUCCCCGUUUAACCUCACCCUUUCUUGCCACUACCGCCUAUAUACCGCCGUCGUCAGCUUACCCUAUAAGGGUCCCAUAGUAAGCAAAACUGGUAAAACCUAACACGUCAGGUCGAGGUGUAGCACAUGAAAGAGAAAGAAAUGGGCUACACUCCCUGACUCAGGGUAUACAAACGAUAAUUUGAAAUAAUUAUCUGAAGGUGGAUUUAGCAGUAAGGGAGAAUACAGAGAGUUCCCCUGAAACCGGCCCUGAAGCGCGCACACACCGCCCGUCACUCUCCCCAAACCUAUACUGAACCCCAACAUAUAAAAAAUAUUCCACAAAGGGGAGACAAGUCGUAACAUGGUAAGUGCACCGGAAGGUGUACUUGGAAAAACC